rnacentral:rRNA from 1 species
UACGAAGGGGGCUAGCGUUGCUCGGAAUUACUGGGCGUAAAGGGUGCGUAGGCGGUGCGUUUUGUCGGGCGUGAAAUUCCAGGGCUCAACCUUGGGGCUGCGUUCGAGACGGGCAUUCUGGAGUGGGGAAGAGGGUCGUGGAAUUCCCAGUGUAGAGGUGAAAUUCGUAGAUAUUGGGAAGAACACCGGUGGCGAAGGCGGCGACCUGGUCCUUGACUGACGCUGAGGCGCGAAAGCGUGGGUAGCAAACAGG